CUAAAUUAACAUAUCUGAAAAAGGUUAGUUGUAUUGUCUCCACGUUGGCCGAUAUAUUCCGAAUUAAGGUUUGAGAAAACACUGAUUAGGUCUGAAAGGUUAUCAAAAACCUAUCCAUCAAUAUUUAUAUACCACCUGCCAUUUAACCAGAAGUCCACAACAUUGUUACCAAACUCUCUCCUUUUGCUCUUUUUUUUUUUUUUUUUUUUUUCUUUUUUGGGAUUUUGUUUCCAUAAUUGAUAUUUCAAAUUUGUCUUAAGCAAUUAAAUCAGAAUCCCCUAUUGACUAAACUAACAAAGGCGAUAUAUACUGGAAUGUCAAAUGUCUUAUGAUCCAUAUCGAAUGCUUGUAAUGUUUCAAGACAUAACAUGACUAUAAACAAACAUACGUAUAUAUCGGAAUAUAUCUUUUAUUUAAUUAUCAACGAGUUAACAAAUAAUAUUUGGUAUUAUAAUAUUAUGUAAAUACGUACGUAGAUUGUCCAAGAAUCAAGAUUACACAAAACGUAGAUGAGUAUUGGUGGCUUGAAGUAGCGGGUGUAGGUUAGAACUUAGAAACAAACCUUAGAUUAAUUAAAUACUAUACAAAGAGACGUUGAGAGGUUAACGAAAUGCUCAGCCCACACGAAGCAAUCUCUCUACCCUUAUUACAUUCCAUGAAGUAAUUAAAAUCUAAAGUUAUAGAAAUAAAGAAACGAAUUAAGAAAAAGGUAGAUUACUUAAAAGGAGGUGUUGUGUUGGUUAGGGAAGACGUUGGCAUCAGUCGCCGGUAGAGAGGUCCGUCCAAACCCUCCCGACUCUCUAACGGAUUUUAUCUAUUUUAUUUUUCUUCAUAUAUUGUAUUUAUUUUAUACUUUCUAUAAUAUAUAUAUAUAUAAAUGUAUACGUGCAGGUGCUCUUCAGCUUUCUUCUUGUUCCCACAUACCCAUCUUCCCCAACCUUUGGCCAAGAAAAACAAUCUUUAGGGUUUUAAAUUUCGAUAUUUAUAUAGUAUGCAAACGCACCAAAAAUAUUCGCGUACGUUAUUGAUAUAGCAUCUGUGUGUUUUUUGUGGGUACUAUUAUCUCCUUGUUCUUGUAUCGGUUUGGAUCGGUAAAGUUAGUUAAAAAAAAAGAAGAAGUAAUUAGCUAGAUCGGCGUAAAGAAGAAAAGGAUCGAUCAUGUGCAGUCGAGGCCAUUGGAGACCAGCGGAAGACGAGAAGCUGAAGGAUCUGGUCGAACAAUACGGUCCUCAUAAUUGGAACGCCAUAGCCCUCAAGCUCCCUGGUCGAUCUGGUAAUAAGUUAUUAAUAAUAUCUUAUAGCUAGGGUUGGUCCAUAUAUACAAAAGACUAGCUAGGGUUUGAUAUAUAAUAUAUAUACAUAUUAAUUAAGUUGCGUUGGUGUAUGUUCAGGUAAGAGUUGUAGAUUGAGAUGGUUUAAUCAAUUGGAUCCGAGGAUAAACCGAAACCCUUUCACGGAAGAAGAAGAAGAAAGACUUUUAGCGGCUCACCGGAUCCAUGGGAACAGAUGGUCGAUCAUUGCAAGGCUCUUCCCCGGAAGAACCGACAACGCCGUCAAGAACCAUUGGCACGUCAUCAUGGCUCGUCGCACACGCCAAACCUCCAAGCCUCGUCUUCUACCCUCCACGACUUCUUCUUCCUCUCUGAUGGCGAGUGAACAAAUCAUGAUGAGUUCUGGUGGUUAUCAUAUUAAUAAUAACUCCCGUGAUCCCAAGAGUGUACUCGGAGACGUUAUCAAAUUCCCUUACCAAUUCUCUCAUAUCAAUCAUCUUCAGUUCCUUAAGGAGUUUUUCACUGGCAAGAUCGCUUUAAAUGCCAAAGGUAAGUAAAGUACUCAAGAUGAUGAAGAAUUAUCCAAUUAUCCAUUUCCGAUAAAAGUGUGUGCAUGUUCGUAUGAUUGUUGCACGAAUUAAUAUAAUGAUGCAAAAUUAUUAUGUUCCAAAAAUUUUCAUUAAUUAAUGGAGUUUGACAGAUUUUUUUCAUUGCAUAAUAUCAAAAUUUUGUGACAAAAGUUCAUUUUUUGUUGUUGUAGUCGUAGUCAUAUAUCAGCUUCGUCAUUACCUUGAAUAAUCUCUAUGUAUAUUUCUUUCAUAAAUUUACAGUUUCGUCAUUAGUUAGCUUGACUAAUUUUGAUUUCUAUCAGAUGGGAUCGCAGCAAACCAGAGUAAACCAAUGGAGUUUUAUAAUUUUUUACAAGUAAACACGGAUUCAUCAAACAAGAGCGAGAUAAUUGAUCAAGAUUCAGAUCAAAGCAACCCCAAUGACUCGGACAACAAUAACGAAAGUCGUGUUCCCUUCUUCGACUUUUUGUCUGUUGGAAACUCUGCCUCUUAGGAUUAGCAUCUUUCGCAGAACACCGUACGUACAUUUCUAGCUUGACUAUUUAGUCCGUACAAGUACGAGACUCUAGCUAGAUCGUUAACAUGUAUGUUUGAUGUGUAAAAUUAGUGAGCACUUGUCUGAUAAAUAUGCGAGAAAAGAGACCUACUAUGUUAAUAUAUGUACAUGUACCCAUCAAACUUAAUUAUCAGUAUGUUCGAUACAAUUUGUUUAUUCUCUCUCGUAUAUGAAGUUCGAUAAUACGUACGUAAUCAUAUAAUAAUUGGUGACCAAAUGAAACAUUAAUCAUACAAAAUCUUGUAUGACGGCGUUGUUAUUUUAGGAAAAAACGGUUUUGUGGUAAACUAGAGAAGAGAACAAAAGAUGUCGUGUAGCAAAAAGAAAUAGAUGCAUUCGCAUCUGCGGACUAAUCAAAUAUAUGUAUAAUGUAUAUCGCUUACGGUCAAGAUAAUGCACGAAUGAAACCCUUAAAUGAUCAUAUAGGUUCCUUGCAACUACAUAUCCAUAUAUAACUGAUGUGAUCACACACUGACACACACACAUAUAUAUAUAUAUAUAGACAUUGGAUGAUAUAUAACUCUCUGUAUGUAGAAAGAGAGAUCUAAAUCAUGUAACACUAUCAACUUAUAACUCAUUAUAUAUUAAUCAACUUUUUAAUCUUUUAAGUCUAAUUUGUCUUUUAGAAAUCUCUUUUGUAAUGAUAGUUUGUUAAUUUCAUAACAUCAAGUUUCGAAUUAUAUAUAAUUGAUAAAGUAAACGUUUUAUACAAUAUUUAGUUACAAGUUAGCACUAUAUAUAUUCAGGAUAUUACAAGAUUGAUUUUUUUAAGGAUAUUACUAGAUAUUACAAGAUUAAUUGAAUUAUUUGUUUUAGGAUAUUACAAGAUUAAUUGAAAUCUGAUUAGCUUAAGGGAAAAAAAAAGAGUUCCGAAGUCUUUAAAGGGAAAAGAAAUUUGAAUGCAAUGUGAUUGUAAACGUACAAACUAUAUAUAUAGAAGUUUUGAUAACUUCGGGUUAAACCUUUUAAUGGUGAAGUAUGAUAAUGGGAAAGACGAAAUGGAUGUUGGAGUAGAGACGUAAACUUGGGCGUAGUUAUCAGCCACCAAGAAAUAUAUAUCAUAACAAUACACCAAAGUAAAAGUAAAUAAAAAAAUAACAAAGCACAAAUCUUAAUGGAAUGUAGUUGGAAAAGAAAAAAAAAAAAGCACAAAUCUUGACAGUUGACACCACUUAUAACCACACUUUGUAGUUUGUUUUUCAAAAUUCAAUUUUUAUUCAUUAAAAUUGUAUAACUACAUUAAAAUAUCUAAAGUGAAAUUUGAAAGAACUUAAGGAUUAAACUUGCAAUUGACAUAUUUGAUACAUUCUGCUGAUCUCGUCGCACGUGUAAAAAAUGGUCUUGUAUUGGAAACUCACGUUUCGCGUUUACACCAAACGCAAACGCUGAAAAGCGUUUUGUUUUGGUUCUUGUCACUGUAACUCUUGUCUGAAUCGCAAACAAAUGAACACAUUUUCAAGUUCAAAAGAGCAAGUAUCGAUUACGCUCUGAUCAAAUCAAAGCCGAGAGAUUCAUAAUUUUCGAAGGAACCACCAUAGUCCCAUAGAUGAUGGCGGCAAAGGCGGCUUCGUCUUCCAGCCUCCCCAAGUCUGGAGCCAUCUCCAAAGGCUACAAUUUCGCUUCAAACUGGGAACAGGUAACCGCACAAUCUGAGCUCGAGAUCCAUCCAUUGAUGAGUCUAGUGUCCGGUGUGCCUGUAUCUUGAUCCUUUGUUCAGAUACAAUGGUUGGAUCUUAAAAUGAUAGCUCUGUUUGUUGAGAAUAUACUGAUUUGUAAUGUGGUUAAUUCCCGUUGCAGAGCGCUCCUUUGACAGAGCAGCAACAAGCAGCUAUAGUUUCAUUAUCCCACGCAGUCGCUGAGCGCCCAUUUCCUGCCAAUCUUGUGAGUCUGCGGUUUUUUAGUUUUGGAUGUUGUUUGAGAAAUGUUUUCCUUUUUUUCUUUUUGGUUUUGAUGUCAGUGUUAGUUCAUGGUUAUAGGUGCAUGAGCAUGUUCCCCGUCCCGAGAAUGGCUUGUCUGUCUCAGCAGAGGACACUACUUUGGGAGAUUCUGGAGCAAUUGAAGCUGUUUUGGUUAAUACAAAUCAGGUAAUUUCUUCUCCUGCAACUUGAUAUUCCAAAGAUUUGUGACAUCUGUGGAGAAAAAUUCAUGCUUAGUUGAAAUUUUGUUGUUGCAAGUACUAUAGGAGUUGCGUUUGUAUUCGUGGGCAUCCUUAUCUCGCAUCUUUAUAUGUGUACUAAUGCUUCUUCCCAUUCGACUUAUGUUGUUUUUAUGACAGUUCUACAAAUGGUUUACUGAUCUUGAAUCUGCAAUGAAGUCUGAGGUUAGUGAUAUUCUUGUUGUUCCGAGGUUAAAUGUUGGAAAACAUUAGUUGAAAUGUUUCUAAAUUAUUUGUUCUGACAUAGACAGAGGAAAAAUAUCGGCACUAUGUCAAUACUUUAACUGAGCGCAUCCAAACGUGUGAUGAUAUACUUCACCAGGCAGGUUUCCACCAAGUUUUGCACAUCACUGUGGACUGUGGUCUUACCUUGCCGGUAAGUUAUUAGGCAUUUCCUUCAUUAUUGACCUUAAGAUUUCUCCUGUGCAGGUUGAUGAGACACUUGACCUAUUUAAUGAACUGCAGCUUCAACAUCAAGGAGUUACAACAAAGACUAAAACUCUUCAUGAUGCAUGUGACCGGCUGGUAUUUUUUUCUCUGUCUUUUAUGCAACAAGAUGAUUUAUUGUUUCUCCUAACUCUUGCACGUUUAAUAUCAAAAUGACAAACAAAAGAUGACUAGCUAUUGAUUGUUGUAGUUUGGUUGCAUGAGCUAAUUUUCGCUUUCAUCUACCUUUUCUAGUUAAUGGAGAAACAGAAAUUGAUGGAAUUUGCAGAAGCUCUAAGGAGUAAGCUCAACUAUUUUGAUGAACUGGAGAAUGUAAGAUUUAAAUUCUGGUCUACCUGAAUAUAUUUUUGCCACAUAUCAAAAGUGUGUAGUUGCUUGAGGUGUCUCCUUGUCUUGCUCAUUAUUGAUCUAUUUGAAUUUCACCUGGGGUACUGAAGUUCAUUAUGUAUGUUUCUUACUGAAUACUGACUGUAAAUUUAAGAGGAAAUACCAACAAGGUAAAAUUGCUCUAAUAUCUUCUUCUUUCUUGUUUUUCGCAGAUCUCCUCCAAUUUUUAUUCUCCAAAUAUGAAUGUUUCAAAUUCAAACUUUCUCCCACUACUGAAACGGCUUGAUGAGUGCAUAUCGUGAGUAAAUGAUGUUGCAUUCAAUAUUAUGAAAUUUACAGUCACUACUUAGCAAUUUUCUAGAAGAAUGCCGCACCUAAGUUCUUCCUUCUUCCUUCUCCCUUGAGCUGGUUGUAUUUAUAUGAACUCUGUAGGUACAUCGAAGAUAAUACUCAAUAUGCGGAGUCUAGUGUUUAUUUGCUCAAAUUUCGUCAGCUCCAGGUACUAGAAGAGCUUCCCCCUUUCUCCCUCACAGAGAUACAUGUGGUUUUACAGUUCUUAGUAUGCACAAACACAGAAACUGUUUCCAGAAUCAUACGAGAGAUCAGUAACUUGUAAUUAGUUCUCGAGAAGACUAACAUUUACAAUUUUUACAUUCACGGGCCUUGGGCAUGAUUCGAACUUACAUUCUUUCAGUGCUCAAAACUGCUGCUUCCCAGGUAUUUUUUUUUUGUAACCUGCCUCUAUUCCUGCACAGCUUACACAAAGCAUGUAUAUAGUUCUAGUGACUAAUUAUGUAUAUUCAUAUAUAUUGCAUAUCUAUAUGCAUGUAAUCUAUGCAGGUAGAGUGAAUUUUGUAGUUAUGCCUAGUUUCCUUAAGACAUACAUGUUAAAUGCAUUGGCAGGUUCAAGCAGCAUUUCGUGGGACAGGUGGAAACAAAACAUCUGUCUCAGAGGGUGUUGAGGCAUCUAUUAUAUAUGUACGCUUCAAGGCUGCUGCAAGUGAGGUGAUAAUAUUUGGCUUUCUUUCAAUGUUAGUGCAGAAGUGCUAGGGUCACAAUAUUAGAUAAGAAAACAAUGAGAAAUAGCUUUGGUAGCAUCAUUCAUUGUCAAUUUUGCUACUUUAGUCUUAGCAUUAUGAUAUGGUUGUAUUUUCUUUCUUUUGACAUUGAACAUCGAAAAAAUUAUUUUCCAGCUUAAACCUGUAUUGGAGGAAAUCGAAAGUAGGUCAGCAAGAAAGGAAUAUGUUCAAAUUCUUGCAGAAUGCCACAGACUAUAUUGUGAACAACGGCUCUCACUUGUGAGUUCAUCUUCUGGAAUACAAUAUGGUUUAGUUUCUGUCUGCAAAAAACUUGAAUUGCCUGUUUACUCUCAUUUCACAUUAUCAGGUAAAAGGCAUAGUUCACCAACGAGUCUCUGAUUUCGCCAAGAAAGAAGCACUGCCAUCUUUGACUAGAUCGGGUUGUGCAUAUCUUAUGCAGGUAUAUGAAGGAAAGUAAAGGGAAAAAUACCCCACUUUAUUCAUGAGGGAUACUAGGAGCUGUACCAGUUUAGUAGAAAAAGGUCCUUUCAUCAUGAGGAAUAGAAACAUAAAAGAAAAUUGAGAAUGUUAGUAUAGCUAUUAAUCUGUACUGCGAUUUCAAAGGUCAGGCAAAGGUCUGUUUGAGAGAGAGAACGGCUGGAUGAUCAGCUUUAGCAACUGAGGAUUUUAGAGAUGCUUGAUGGAAUUGGUUUUGUAAACAUGAAAUUACUGCACUACAUGUCUUUAACCUCAAUUGUGAUUUUCAGGUUUGUCAUAUGGAGCAUCAACUGUUUACUCAUUUCUUUCCAGCAUCAUCAGAAGAAGUUUCAAGUCUGGCACCUUUAGUGGAUCCUUUGUAAGUUUAUAUUUUCCGUGCUUUCACCAUCUCUAAUUCUGUACAAUUUAUCCCUAAAUAAUUUUUUGGUGCUUUUUAUACUGAGAUACAGACUGAAUUAUUUAGAGCCAUAAGCAUCUAAUAUUUCUACUUGAAUAUUUUUCUUAAAAAUUGAGAAGUUACGUUUAGUCUGCUUCUCAUUCUCUUCACACCGUUAGGCAUUUGGAGCCGAAAAUUCAUCCCAAUAUCCCAUCAUUAUUUCAUUUGUGAAUUAAGAACCUACUUUUGCUGUCUUUGUCUCGAUAAUAUUAUCUUGAUUUGUUUUUUAAUGCUAAUCCUUUUUAGAGAUGGAAAAUUUAUAUAGUCGUUUGAUCCACUAUACUGUAGUCAGUGUUCUUUGAACCUGAUAGUAACUUCUCAAAAGUCUAGAUUCAGAGAAGUGUGUUUACAUAAGUGUUCAUGUUUGAGUAUGGAACAAGUGUAGGAAAAAAAAAAAAAAAAGAGUAUGGAACAAGUAUGAAUUUUUCUGGCUAGUAUCUUCCAGAUUGAUUUGGUUUGUUAUAUCUUGUGCAAUACUUCCAAUUACAAUGUAGUUGUAGUCAGUGGAUGCACUACACUGUAAUCAACUUUCUUAGAAUCUGAUUUUGGCUUAUUAAUUGUCUAGGAUUCAGAAACAAUGAUUAAGCGUAAGGAAUCCAGAUUGUUUUCGUUUGUUAUAUCUUAUUUUAGUGCAUCAAUUUAUCAUAUUUGUUUGUUCCCAAACAGGUCUACGUACUUGUAUGAUAUUUUACGCCCAAAACUGAUUCACGAAGCAAAUAUUGAUCUUCUAUGUGAGCUCGUUCAUAUCCUUAAAGUUGAAGUCCUGGGGGAGCUGUCAGCUAGACAGAGUGAACCCCUCGCUGGACUGCGGCCUACAUUACAAAGAAUUUUGGCCGAUGUCAAUGAGAGAUUGACUUUCCGUGCCAGAACAUAUAUUCGAGAUGAGGUGCAGUAUCGGUUUACCAUGACCUUUACUUCCAUAUGUGUCGUCUUCUCAUUUGCGAUUAUAUAGAAACAGGAAACUUUGUAUGCUGUCACCCCUAAGAUGAAUCACUCUACUACUGAUAAGAUGAACUGUUAUAACUGUGGCACUGAUCAACCUUUAAAUAGAGAAAUUUGCUAGAGUUUUGGCUGUGUUAUCCUGUUUCGUCUUAGAAGACUUUACUUUUCUUGAGCUGCUCUGUUCGAAUCCCCUUCUUACUUGUGCAGAUAGCAAAUUAUAUUCCUACUGAUGAAGAUCUGGAUUAUCCUGCAAAGCUGGAGGGGUCUCCUAAUACAACAUCUGAAACUAAUCUCGGGGUAGAACGAAAUUCUCAAAUUAUUCCUUUGGGUUUGUUAAUCUUUAGCUAUAUACUUAUUUCUAAGAUGCAGGAUGAUGAAAACGCUGAUGUAUUUAAGACUUGGUAUCCACCUUUGGAAAAGACUCUCUCUUGUCUAUCUAAAUUAUAUCGAUGCUUGGAGCCUGCAGUCUUCACUGGAUUAGCACAGGCAAGACUAUCAGUAACUUUAUUGCUUCUCCUUCUGUCAAAGAAAAUACACCAAUUCACAUUUAGGAAAACUUGUCUAACAAACCUUCUCUUCUGUUCUACAGGAAGCUGUUGAAGUUUGCUCUCUGUCAAUUCAAGUAAGCAAGCUAGAAACCCAGAUUUUUCUCGCCUUGAUUUUUGUUCUUUCAGUUGUCCUUAUUUAGUGUUUUUGUUUUCUUUUAAUUACCAAGUUUUUACAUCUGCUUCACGUAUACAUAGUUGAGAUGUCCAAUAUUUUGUCAAAUAUGCAACAGAAAGCCAGCAAGCUUAUCGUUAAGCGAUCAGCUACAAUGGAUGGCCAGCUUUUCCUUAUGAAGUAUCUUCUUAUCUUGAGAGAACAGGUUAAGGCUAAUUUAUCUUUUGUUUGCUUCUUUUGCUAUUAAGUAAGUCAAUGACAUUAAAAAUUAUUGUUUGUUUCCAGAUUGCGCCUUUUGACAUAGAAUUUUCAGUCACCCACAAAGAGCUUGAUUUCUCUCAUUUACUGGUUAGUUCCUCAACAUUCAAAUGACUAAAUCUACUUUGUGUGAUAGAUCUUUCUUUCUAGCCUUCGAGAGAAGCUUCUUUUUGGUGCACAUUUCUGAUCUUUUUCCCCUUCAGUUUCUUUCUUUGCUGAUGACUUCGCUAUCCUCUGAUUAUCCAUGUCAAAAAUGUGGUUAGGAACACUUGAGAAGGAUACUUAGAGGUCAAGCGUCACUUUUUGACUGGUCUAGGUCAAGCUCCCUAGCAAGGACCCUGUCACCUCGAGUUUUGGAGAGUCAAAUAGAUGCCAAGAAGGUUGGUAAUUUUUUCUCUUCCAUCAACAAUCAAUUGCAACUGUUCUUCAUGUUUACAUAAGUUUGCCACUCAGAUGUGUUAAUCACAUUGUAAAAUUUAAAUCUUGAGCAUCUUCCUGCGAGACUGAUGUACAAUAUUAGUGAAAGAUUGAGAAUUUAAUUUCAUAGUCUGGGUUAUAUUUCUGCUAAGACGUUAGGCUCAAGAGAUAUGGCAAUUUUUUUGGUUGUAUCUUGCUUACCUGGAUGUCUUAUUCUAUGCCUGGGUCAUUGCAUUGCUUGAUAUGUGUACGGGAAUGAUGCAUAGACCUUUAUUUUCGCAGGAACUAGAAAAAUGUCUUAAGACGACGUGUGAGGAGUUCAUCAUGUCAGUCACAAAGCUAGUUGUGGAUCCUAUGCUUUCAUUUGUGACCAAGGUUGGUUUCUCCUUUCCGUUAUUCUGGGAAAAUGUUUUUCAAAGUUUUGUUAAGACUCUAGACGUCAUCGGAAAAGUUAAACUCAGCAUCCUUUGCACUGUUUGAUAUUAAAUACAAUGCACCGAUAUUAAGAAGAUGAUCUGUUUUUCCUCUCCUAAUGGAAUACUGUAAUAGUUUUGCUAUAUAUAUACAUUGUAUACUUGUAUAUGCAGGUCACAGCCAUAAAAGUUGCUCUUUCCACCGGAACUCAGAAUCAAAAGGUUGAUUCUGUCAUGGCUAAGCCGCUGAAGGAACAAGCUUUCGCUACACCGGAUAAGGUGGCUGAACUUGUUCAAAAGGUAUGAGAUAGAUAAUUUACUCUUUAGUUAUUUCUUUUUCUUUUUCUUCAAGGUAUAUAUCUGAGAAAUAGAGAUGGCAGCUAUUUCUGGUUCCCUUUUACUAAGCUCUGAGCCAUGAUACUGAAAACUCUGUUCAUAGGCAGUUUUAGCCUCUAAGUACUAACAAAUAUAGAUGCCAGUGAUACGUUGAACAUGCGGUUGUGGUUCCUUAGGUAGUUAUCUUACUGUGAUAAAUAUAUAACACGCAAUGGAAAACCAAAUCCCUCAGCAAAAAGGGAAAGGCUGAUUUGUAUUACAUGACUUUAACCAGGUAUAUGCAGCAAUACAGCAAGAGUUGCUUCCGAUUUUAGCAAAAAUGAAACUCUAUUUGCAAAACCCAUCAACAAGGACCAUACUUUUCAAGCCAAUCAAGUAAGUCCAUUUCUCGAAAUUUGAUCAACCAUCUAAACUAUCUUUGGCUGGUUUACAUAUCUGUGUUUGUCCUAAUCCCUCGCGUCAGCACCCAAAUAUCUUGCUAGUUUGAAUACGACAAAUGGAUGAUCAUAUGUAUAUGUUUUUGCAUUCAGGACAAAUAUAGUGGAAGCUCAUACCCAGGUGGAGUCCUUACUUAAAGCUGAGUACUCAGCAGAAGAACAAGCCAAUAUCAAUAUGAUCUCUAUUCAGGAUUUGCAAACCCAACUCGAUAAUUUCCUUUAAGGUCAUGGCUCAAUCAAUACCCAAUAUCCGAUUUAAUUAUUUUUGACUACUUUACAAGAGUUGGCUUUAGAGGAUAACAUAUAGCAUUAUUAUUAUGUAACAAAGAACUCUUCACACACUUUUGACCUCGAACAUUCAGUCUAUUUUGUUCUUAUGCUUAUAUGAGCUAGCUGUCAAGCUCUUCUUUGCUUGCUUCAUGGAUGGUAUAAAUACGGACAAACAAAAAACCAUGGUACUAUGUAAGAAAGAAACAAUUAUAUAUAUGUCAAUCUCAAUGUCAAUGUAAUGUAAUUUGGGAUUAUAUAUCAACUUGGUAAGAUAAUAAACUCAGGUGCCAUAUAAAAGAAGUGAUUUUCUUAAAUAAUGGAAUGGGGCUGUUUUCCCAUGAAUAAUCCACACUUUAAAACAUGCUAAAAGAGAUUUGGACCCGACUUUAGGAGACCACUUUUUAAAGGUUUAAGAUAUGUAUUUUUGAAUAUGAUUUAAAUCGCUAAUCAUUGAUAAUUUGAGCUUAGUAGAAAUGAUUCGUUGAUAACUGGUUCUGAUUCGGUCUAUGAGCUUGAGCGCCGCAAGAUACUUACCAUACAAAAGUAAACUGAUUUGGGCUAUUAACAAGUUAAGACUAUGUGAUUCACAUUUAGUGAUCUCCAGCAGAUUGAUCUUGCAAGCGCAAAAACUCGAAUCCAGUCAAAAAACUUACUCAUCCGGAAACGUCUAAUGUGUUGACUAGUUCUGGAUUGUUUUGUAUGUAAAUACAUAAUUUAAGAUAUUACCAAAAAAAAAUACAUUUAGAUGGAAAAACAAAAUAUCGUCUAAUAAAUAACGUGAGAUUUUAAAGAAAGCUAUGCGAAUCCGAAUCUUAUGGAAUUUUUAGGCAAUAUCAUUAAAAAAUUUAGUAGAACAUCAUAAUUUUAUGCUUAAAUAUAUAUAUGUAAAGAGCACACAAAAAGAAUAAAUAUUGGAAAAGAAUGAAAGAACCCUAAUUUAAAUUUAGGAAUUUUAUUUGGUUUUUUUAAAAUUAAAGCAAGUGAAUGUCCGAAAUCAUUACAUCCAUUGGAACCUCUUCUCACCUUUGCUUUGUUCAUCUUCUUCGUUUUGAUCUGUAAGCGCAUUUCCUUCCCCUGUCACACCUGAAGUUUUUUUUUUUUUAAUCUCUCAUUGGAUCCACUCUUAUUCCUCCUUGUCUUCUUAAAUUUGGGUUUUUUUUUUCUUUCAUUCUAUUGUUUUCCUGAUCUUCAGCUGUAUUGCAGACUCUUGUCUACGAUGGCGCCUUUGGAGCAUAAUUUCUAAGGCUUUUUAGGGUUUAAACGUGCUUGUUGAAGUUCACAUCUGCCUGUAUGAGCAAACGUGAGUCUUUGUUUCCUGUAAAAAUCUUCUCUUGGCUUGUUUCUGGAAUGUGAUUGUAAUAUUGGUUUUGGGCAGAUUUUGAUUCUCAUUUUAUGUUUUGGGAGAAAAAAGUUUUAAUCUUUUCUGUUGGUUACAGGAUAGGUGGAAGUAUUCCUCUAAGUGCUUCUCCUGUACAUUGGAAAAGGUCAAUAAAUGACGGACCAAGGCUCUGUUGAUGAUAUUUUAGAGUUUCUUAGGAAGAAUCGUUUCUCUAAGGCUGAGGAAGCUUUGCGUAAUGAGCUUAACAACCGCUCUGACAUUAAUGGCUUUCUUCAGAAACUUAAGCUGGAGGAAAAAGAUUCCAAUGAUAAGGCUGCUGGCAAUGAACUUCGGAGGUCAGGUUCUCGAGAUAGUGAAGUCUCCAAGGAGCUGGUUGUGAAAGAGGUAGACUGUGGCACUAGCACCAAUGGGUCUGUAAUCAAGUGGGAAAAUGGUGCCGCUGCUGAGAAACCGAGCAAGAAGGAAACGCCUGUAUCAAGUGAGAUGAGCUUUACACUCUCCAAAAAUUCUGGUGAUGCUGCUGCUCCUGAUACGCAUUCCUAUAAAUUUACUUCCGCAAAUGGUACCUUGGAGCCUUAUCGAAACAUUGAUGAUAGUAGUAGUAGCAGCUUGGUGGAUUCAUAUGUCUUCGAACAGUCGAGGCAUGGGAAUUUUACUGAUAUCGAUAAGAAGAUAGUGGAAACUGGCGAAGAUAUCGUUUUCUUCGGCAAUAAGAGUACUUCAUGGUCUGGAAAUACCAGUCAUGGUAACUCUGGGUCCAAAAUAAAGGAAACAAAUGAGAUUGAUCGGCUAGUUGAAAAUAUUGGAAAGCAUAACAGUUAUAAGGGAAGCAUUCUUCUAAGAACUGAAGAUGUCGUAGAUACCUCCGAGAACUGGAAAGAGUGUUCUGUUAAGACUCUUUUUCAAUCUUCAAGAGGGGAUGCAUCAACCAGUUACAAUCUGGUUAGCAGCUCGGACAAAACAGAGGGAAAGAAAAAGGCAGACAUUAAUGAUGUGAGGGCGGCAAUCAAGGAGCAGGAGAGCGAAGUGGCAAGAGCUUUAUUCUUUGGUAAAUCUCAAUCCAUUUUUGAUGACAAAAACAUCAGCAGCUUAGGUUUUCCACUUGUCUAUGAUACCCGCAAGGAAGAGUUUCCUAGGCUGCCUCCUGUUAAGCUCAAGUCUGAAGACAAUCCUUUGAGUCUUUACUGUGAAGAAAAAUUUGAACGUAAUGGUUCAGGUCUGAGGCUAAUGAACGAUGAGGAGGCCCUUCUCAUAGGCUCAUACCUUGAUGUUCCCAUUGGACAAGAAAUUAGCUCAUCAGGUUAGCUUGCAUGACACUGUAGCCGUACAAAUAUAAAGUUUCUAUUCUGUCUGCUAGAUGAUGGUUGUUUUAAGAGAUAGUGCAUGUGAUAUCGUAUUAAUGAUUUUGAACUUCUAGAUAGACUUCUAAAGACAUGCAUUUUUCUCAUAUCCUUCAUUCUUUUAGGAUCUACAUUUUUUUCUGCGAAUCUGCAGAAGUAACCUGUUUUAAGUUGAAUGAACUCAUGCAUUGACGAGGUAGUGAGGUAUUGGCAUCAGUUCCAAAGAAAGCAAGUAAUGAUUAGGCUUUUUUUUUAAUGCUAGAGUAUCUGAAAUUGUUUGCUCUCACCGUCUUCCUUUACACCUCUGCUUUUUGUUUUGAGUUCUAUAAGGACCAUGUCCCUAUACUUUCUACUUUUUGGGUUUAAACUUAUCAAUUUUACUUGAGAUGUGAAGUAAGUUUUAAUAUCCUAAUGAUUGCAUUUAGGUGGGAAAAAAUCUGCUGGGGGAAACUGGCUUUCAGUAAGUCAGGGAAUAGCAGAAGACGCAUCAGAUCUUGUUUCUGGUUUUGCUACUAUUGGUGAUGGUUUAAGUGAAUCUGUUGACUACCAUAAUGAAUACUGGGAUUCUGACGAGUAUGAGGAUGAUGACGACAUUGGUUAUGUCAGGCAACCUAUUGAAGAUGAAACAUGGUUUCUUGCCCAUGAAAUUGAUUAUCCAAGUGAUCAUGAGAAAGGAACGACCCGUGGAAGUCCUGAUGACCAUGGAAGAGAUGCAAACAAAGACGAGGAUGAUCAGUCUUAUGCGGAGGAGGCUUCUUAUUUAUCCGGUGAACAGUAUCUCCAAGCAAAAGAUGCCGAACCUAUUUCUUCAGAAAAUGACCGAAGGCUUACGGUCUCAGAAAUUUAUCCAGCUAGCAAGAAAAAUGAUUUGAUAGCUCAAUAUGAUGGACAAUUGAUGGAUGAGGAGUUGCUCAAUUCAAUGCGUGAUGAGCCUGUGUGGCAGGGGUUUAUAGCUCAGUCAAAUGAACUUGUUAUGUUAGGUGAUAAGAAAGGCAUAAAUGUCCAUCGAAAAUCUCAUCUUGAUGAUGUUUGCCUCGAAGAUGAUCAGCAUGAUUCAGUCAGGUCAAUUGGUGUGGGUAUUAAUAGUGAUGCAGCUGAUUUUGGUAGUGAAGUACGUGAAAGUUUGGCUGGAGGUAGCAGUGAGGGAGAUUUUGAGUACUCCCGUGAUCAUGAUGCUGUAGCAUCUAGGUUUAAACAGCUUUACUCUGAGUCAGAUAAGAAACAUAUUGAUGGACCAAACAAGAAAGCAAAUAAAAAUGAUGGUACAGGUUACAUUGUAGAUAAUGAUCCAGGUGCAAGUUUUGAUGUGAAGAUUCAAACUGAUGGAGGUUUUUCAUUUGGCUCGUCACAGAAAGAUGGGAAGUUAAUGCAUGCAGAAUCUAGUAAAUCAUUAUGGUCAGGCAAUCGCGAAAUGGUAACCAGAGAUAGGAACGCGGAACGUUUGAAUGCUUCAACAGCUACGGAUGAUAUGGUUACAACUUGGAGACGAAAAAGUAGUGAUUCAUCAAGUUCUCAAAGUUCUGUGAAAGAAAAUAAUGCAAUGUCCAUAAACUCUGUAAACUCAUCUCCCUCUUCUUUAUCAAAUUAUGCUUGCGAAGAAAGAAAGCAUGCUGUGAAAGAAGAUGAUAGAAAUGAUAGCAAUGAAAAAGAGGAGGACCAGACGACAGCACUUGAUGAUGAAGAGGCAGUGGCUGUCCAAGAGCAAGUUAGACAAAUUAAGGCCCAAGAGGAGGAGUUUGAAACCUUUGACCUCAAAAUUGUGCACAGAAAAAACAGGUAAGAUUUUGACUCAUCAUAGUUUCAUAUAUAGCUGCUCUCUUAUUACUUGUUUUAUAUUGAUCAGAACUGGUUUCGAAGAGGAAAAGAACUUUCACGUGGUUUUAAAUUCGGUCAUUGCUGGGCGGUAUCAUGUCACUGAGUAUCUUGGUUCAGCAGCCUUCAGUAAAGCCAUACAAGCGCAUGACUUGCAGACGGGAAUGGAUGUCUGUAUAAAGAUUAUUAAGAACAACAAAGAUUUCUUUGACCAGAGUCUUGACGAGAUAAAACUUUUGAAGUAUGUCAACAAGCAUGAUCCUGCUGACAAGUACCAUCUUCUACGGUUAUAUGAUUACUUUUACUACCGGGUAAGUGAUCACAUCCUGUUUGUAUAUUUUAUAUUGCUACAAUAUAUCGAAAGAGAAUUGUGUAAAGGGGUCGUUUCCUUAUAAACAAAAGUAGCGUACCAAAGUUCUUAUAUGAAAUGUACUAGGGUCUGUAGAAAACACGUUCCAUCUUUAUGAAGUUCUUCUAUAUUAUCCUUGGGAAUUUUAUGCUAGCAAUGGUUAAGUUUUCCACCGAUUGAACAACUUGUCGUUGGAGCUUAUUUUAGAUUUGUUCAGCAUGGCCUUUAUAAUUAUGCGUAUAGCUCAUGUGAUUCGUUUUAAAAUCAGUUGUUAGUGGAAAUUAUGAGCUCUGCAAUCUGUUUAUUCAUCUCUGGAUUAGUAUCUUUCUCUUCAACAAGUUUACCACACGUAUGAACCAUAUGCCCUUGGUACCCUAUAUGUAAUACUGUGCAAUAUUUCUCUUUGUGGAUUGUUUGGAGUAAUGGAUUCCCUGGCUUUUCUUCGCAGGAGCAUUUGCUAAUUGUAUGUGAACUUCUUAAGGCCAAUCUAUACGAAUUCCACAAAUUUAACAGAGAAUCAGGUGGUGAAGUUUAUUUCACAAUGCCAAGAUUGCAGGUUUGUCCGCUUCAUCAUUACAAUUCGGCAAAGAUACAUAAACAGCCGAUUUCUAAUCUCAUUUGGACCCUUUUUUACAGUCAAUCACAAUCCAGUGUCUCGAAUCACUUCAGUUUUUACAUGGCCUUGGACUUAUACACUGUGAUUUAAAACCUGAGAACAUAUUGGUGAAAAGCUAUAGCAGAUGUGAAAUAAAAGUCAUUGACCUUGGAAGUAGCUGUUUCGAGACGGAUCACUUAUGCUCCUAUGUCCAGUCUAGGUCAUAUCGAGCACCAGAAGUCAUUUUGGGACUUCCUUAUGAUAAAAAGAUAGAUGUGUGGUCUCUUGGGUGCAUUUUGGCUGAACUAUGUACAGGCAACGUAAGUUCUUCACUUCUACUAAUCUGAUGUCAUUGCUUCCUCAUAUCAAUGUAUUUCUCGCAAAAAACAUUUGAAAGAGAAACCACAUUACCACAUCUUUAAUAGCAUAUUAAAUAGUGCAUAGCAUCAAGUGUGGUUUAUUACAUAGGGAAUUGAUUCUCCAGCUAUAAAACAAAUAAAAAUUUCAGAAACUUGUGAAUAAUUACCAACUUUGACUGGAGUUAAUAGGUAGAUGCUUCAUUGAUCUCUCUGGAGUUUAGAAUAAAUAGAUUGUCUGGGUUGGUUGUUGAUUUUCGUGAACAAGAAAGUGAAAUUGUGUUUAUUAUCGAGUUACCUUUGCAGGUUCUUUUCCAGAAUGAUUCUCCAGCCAGUUUGCUUGCAAGGGUAAUGGGAAUCGUAGGAUCUAUCGAUAAUGAAAUGCUUACCAAGGGACGUGAUUCCUACAAAUACUUCACAAAAAACCGAAUGCUCUACGAGCGAAAUCAGGUUAGUUUUUUCCAGAGACCUUAAAAGAACAUUCCAUAAAUCCCAAAAACUAUGGAACGCGUAAUGUUGAAUGGGAUAAGCAAAUGCUAAGAAAGAACAUUCUCUCUCAAAAAUUGGUUUAUUACAGGAAAGCAACAGAUUGGAGUACCUGAUACCUAAAAGAACAUCAUUGAGACAUCGGCUGCCAAUGGGAGACCAAGGAUUCACAGACUUUGUGGCUCACCUUCUUGAGAUAAACCCAAAGAAGCGUCCUUCUGCAGCAGACGCUCUGAAGCACCCUUGGCUUUCGUACCCAUACGAGCCAAUCUCAGCUUAGACCAUUGGUCUCUUACUUGCGCUACUAAAAAAAGGGUGCAAAAACUGCAGGCAGAUUAUUGGAAACCUUAUCUGUGCAAGGGUUCAAACCCCUUUAGGUGGGUGACUGUCACCUGUAAUACAAGUUUGUGGCUGUCUUGCUCAGUCAAAUGUGAGAUGAAGUGAAAAACUUCUGUGAUAUUUUUGAUUAGAAUGUAACACAUGUGUUGUCAAAGUUGUGAUUAUUAGUUAUUCUCUAAGAAGUUAGAACAGAUUAGUAGUAAAAAAAAACUUUUUUUUGUAUCAUCUACUGAUCCUCAGUCCCUUGAUUAUGAAUUUAUGAUUCAAGAUUAAUUUUGCAAUGUAUUAUAUUACUUUUUUUGGUUGCAAUUUUAAUUAUUCAAUCGCUUAAACCGCUUUUCAUGAUUAAUUUUAUCCCGUAUAAAAUGAUGUGUUGAGUAAUGAUUCUGAUUGGUUGAACGAGUAAUAAAACUAUUUUUAGUGAAUACUAAAUACAAUACCAAAACUUUUAAGAAAACCAAAU
rnacentral:lncRNA from 1 species